rnacentral:rRNA from 1 species
AUGGCAGGUGAUUUCAACGAGAUCUUACAUUCUCAUGAAAAAGAGGGUGGUGUCGUUCGCUCUCAAAGAUGCAUGCAAGCUUUUAGUGACGCCCUUGCUAAUUGCGGUUUGGAUGACUUGGGGUACAUCGGUGACAAAUUUUCAUGGCGGCGGGGACACAUUCGAGAACUCCUAGAUCAUGCAACUAGCAAUGCUAUAUGGGCAGACAUGUUCCCGGGAUUUGGUGUGACAAAUGAGGAGUUUGAUAAGUCAGAUCACCGGCCGGUCUUGAUUGACACUGAGUAUCAAUUGGGCGUGCAACCAAGGGGACCAAGCGGACCGCGCAAAUUUGUGGCGCGAUGGUUGGCAGAGACAGAUGUCGAGACAAUAGUUCAAACGGCUUGGGAUAAUCAUAAAGCCCUCGGUGCCUCACCACUAUCAGAAAUAACUGCAGAUAUACAUGCAGCACUGCAUCGGUGGGUGUCGGUGUAA